rnacentral:lncRNA from 1 species
AUCAAUUAAAUAAAAGUAAUUAGGGAAAUUUACUAAAUAAAUAAAAUUUACUAAAUUACUAAAAUAAAUUUAAUUUCAAAAAAUUUAGAAGAUAAAUAAAAUUAAAAUAAUAAAUGCAUAAAAGCUAAAAUUAAAAAAAAAUGGAAUGAACAAAAAAAAGGGUCCAACAUGGACUUGAGGAAGUGAGAAUAUCAUUUUAGGCCCAAACCCAUCACCACUAACCCUAAACAUUCUUAACUUAAUAAAAUAAUAAAAGUAAAAAAGAGAAAAAAAGUUUUAAAAAAUGGAGAAAGGGGCGACGCCCCACUCAUCUCUAUUUUCCCUCCUUUGAUUUUUCAAACAAAUUUCUCAAAUAAUAACAUAUUGACAUGUGGCAUGUAACAUAAUCAAAAGAAAAGAACAAUAAAAGAACUCCCUCACCCUAAUUACUCGGUCCUCUCUGUAUUCAUUUUACUCAAUUUCCUUUUCUUCCCAAACCUAAAGACACGACUCUCUCUUUGUUUCUAUUCUUCAUCUCUCAAUCUCAGUUUCCUAACCAUACAGUUCAUUUUCUUUUGAAAAAGAAGAGAAAACUUUCCUCUUCCUCUCAAACUCAAACCAACAGGCUUCCAUCUUUCUCAAAAUCACAAAGCAAAACAAAAUCAAAUCAAACAAAUAUUCAAUGAAAUCCAAGAAGGGUGUAAGUACCGAAAUUGGAUAGGGGUGGCAUGGCGUGGAUGUGUCUUUAGCAGAGGGCCUUUCACGGGGAUCCAGCGGUCUGCAUGCUGAUCGUAGAUUCACAUGAGAUAGGACGGGUGGAGAGGGGUUCUGCAUGGUCGUAGGUGGCAACAAUACGCCUGCAAUCAGAGCAGUUUCUGCGGUAGUCGGCGGCGAUGCAAGCAGCUUUUGAUUUCACUUUUUACUCCCUUUUUUCUCCUUUAAUUUUUGUUGUGGUGUUAUGUUUUUAUUUGUUUGGGUUUGAACUUCUUAGAACUGUUCUUUUGUGUUAUGAGUGUGUGAUGUUGAUAUCGAUUAUUGAUGUUGUUGUAUGAAGAGUUUGAAAAAUAAUGAAUAUGGUGUACGUUGGUUUUGUGUGGAAUUAAAAAUGGUUAUUAUUGGUGGUGGGAGGUGGUAGGAUGAUGGUGUUUGUUGAGGUUAAUUAUUGUUUUGGUGGAAGAAGUUAUUUUUAUAAGUUGAGUUUUGUUGAAGGUGAUAUUAAAAAAUGGGUGUUUUGUGGUGAGUUUUUUUUGUUGAUACAGUAUAAAUGGUUUGAUUUUGAAAAGAUGCAAGUGUGGUUUAUGGAUGAGUUUGUGUGAGAAAAAAAACAUGUGAGAGAGGGAGGAAUAUUGGCUACUUUCUCUAUUUGUGUUUGUGUGUUUUUGUCGUGUAAGAGAUGCAUGGUAUUUGUGGUGUAAUUGGUAUCUGGAAAACUUAAUGGAAAAAGAGGAACGUUGAUAUGUGAUGUUGAAAAUUUUGGUUACCGCUUCUUGUUUUAUCGUGUAAUUUUGUGUGGGUUAGAAUGUGUUUUCAUGGUU